GCAGUCGAACGAAACUUUCUUACACCGAAUGCUUGCAUUCAUCGUAAGAAGUUGAGUGGCGGACGGGUGAGUAACACGUGGGUAACCUGCCUAAAAGAAGGGGAUAACACUUGGAAACAGGUGCUAAUACCGUAUAUCUCUAAGGAUCGCAUGAUCCUUAGAUGAAAGAUGGUUCUGCUAUCGCUUUUAGAUGGACCCGCGGCGUAUUAACUAGUUGGUGGGGUAACGGCCUACCAAGGUGAUGAUACGUAGCCGAACUGAGAGGUUGAUCGGCCACAUUGGGACUGAGACACGGCCCAAACUCCUACGGGAGGCAGCAGUAGGGAAUCUUCCACAAUGGACGCAAGUCUGAUGGAGCAACGCCGCGUGAGUGAAGAAGGUCUUCGGAUCGUAAAACUCUGUUGUUAGAGAAGAACACGAGUGAGAGUAACUGUUCAUUCGAUGACGGUAUCUAACCAGCAAGUCACGGCUAACUACGUGCCAGCAGCCGCGGUAAUACGUAGGUGGCAAGCGUUGUCCGGAUUUAUUGGGCGUAAAGGGAACGCAGGCGGUCUUUUAAGUCUGAUGUGAAAGCCUUCGGCUUAACCGGAGUAGUGCAUUGGAAACUGGAAGACUUGAGUGCAGAAGAGGAGAGUGGAACUCCAUGUGUAGCGGUGAAAUGCGUA
rnacentral:rRNA from 2 species